rnacentral:misc_RNA from 1 species
AGGCCUAAUGACCCACAAAAAAGUUUUGUUGCUAUUAGCAAGUCCCCAAGCAAACUCUACCAAUUGCUCACUUGUCAUGACAGUGAUGCUUCCGAAAUUCACGUAAACGACUGAGUUGGGUUUUUUCGAGUCUAGCCAUUCUAGACAUCCAGAUUCCUCUUUCCAUAAAUUUGAUCCAAUCAACUUCAAGUCUUCAUCUUUAAAGUUGUUGAGGAGAAGAUGAAGAGAACCAAUGGAGUACACAGGGGGCAACAAUGGAGAAAGUGCAGAUAAAACGUCAUGCUCUAAGGCAUCGAAUGUGUUCAAGAUAAUUGCAGUGGCUUUCUGAGCCCUUUUAGUCUCUGAGACUAUAAAUUCCAGCAUACCAUCUUCAGGAUCUGUGGUUCUGAUAAAACUUGGGAUAUCCCUCAAACGGAUACCUUUCAUGCCUGGAAUCCAAUCUAUAACAGUAUCAAGGUAACCAUUUGUUAAGUAGCUUUCAUCUUUCAAAGGUGAAAGACCCUUCUCGAUUAACU